CAGGGAUUGCCCUAGUAACGGCGAGUGAAGCGGCAACAGCUCAAAUUUGAAAUCUGGCUCCUUUGGGAGUCCGAGUUGUAAUUUGCAGAGGGUGCUUUGGCAUAGGCGGCGGUCUAAGUUCCUUGGAACAGGACAUCGCAGAGGGUGAGAAUCCCGUACGUGGGCGCCUGCCUUUGCCGUGUAAAGCCCCUUCGACGAGUCGAGUUGUUUGGGAAUGCAGCUCUAAAUGGGAGGUAAAUUUCUUCUAAAGCUAAAUACCGGCCAGAGACCGAUAGCGCACAAGUAGAGUGAUCGAAAGAUGAAAAGUACUUUGGAAAGAGAGUCAAAAAGCACGUGAAAUUGUUGAAAGGGAAGCGCUUGCAGCCAGACUUGCCCGCAGUUGCUCACCUAGGCUUCGGCCUGGGGCACUCUUCUGCGGGCAGGCCAGCAUCAGUUUGGGCGGUUGGAUAAAGGCCUCUGUCACGUAUCUCUCUUCGGGGAGACCUUAUAGGGGAGGCGUAAUGCAACCAGCCCGGACUGAGGUCCGCGCAUCUGCUAGGAUGCUGGCGUAAUGGCUGUAAGCGGCCCGUCUUGAAACACGGACCAAGGAGUCUAACAUCUAUGCGAGUGUUUGGGUGUCAAGCCCGGGCGCGUAAUGAAAGUGAACGGAGGUGGGAACCGCAAGGUGCACCAUCGACCGAUCCUGAUGUCUUCGGAUGGAUUUGAGUAAGAGCAUAGCUGUUGGGACCCGAAAGAUGGUGAACUAUGCUUGAAUAGGGUGAAGCCAGAGGAAACUCUGGUGGAGGCUCGCAGCGGUUCUGACGUGCAAAUCGAUCGUCAAAUUUGGGCAUAGGGGCGAAAGACUAAUCGAACCAUCUAGUAGCUGGUUCCUGCCGAAG
rnacentral:rRNA from 1 species